rnacentral:lncRNA from 1 species
GAGGAGGCGCCAAGAGCGAGCGAGGGCUGUGAGGACUGCCAGCACGCUGUCACCUCUCAGUACCACCAAUAUCAUGAUUAUUGAAUGAGGUUGCCUUGAUAAUUCUGCUGAUCUUGCCUGGCUUUACUAAUGUGCCUGAGGUUGUCUAGAAGAUGAAAUGGAAUGGGUGGAUUUGGUGGAAUAGGUGGAUUCGGUGGAAUGGAUGGAUUCAGUGGAAUGGGUGGAAUAGGAAGACGAAGGCUGGAGUUGGAUAAUGAUCCUUCUAUUAUGAGCUUUGACAAUUCUGGGACAUGGACUCUCGGUACAGAUUGCCCAAGACAUCUCACAUGACCAAGCAAUGGGACAUGUCUCUUCUUACCUCAUGAAACACCCUGCCGCACCCCGCCCCCUUCUGCCACCACCAAGUGAUCAUCCAGCUGACACUUGAGGAACUUUGAUGAUGAGGAGUUCAUCAGUCAUUGGUCAGACUAUUAAAUCUUUCCACAGCUUAGUGAGUUUAUUAUAGUUUUCUUGAUGCAUAAUUCUGCCUGCUACAGAGAUAGAAUUACUUAAGGAUGUUUGAAAUACAGGUAUACCUCAGAGAUACUGCAGGUUUGGUUCCAGACCACCAUA